rnacentral:rRNA from 1 species
UACGUAGGUGGCAAGCGUUGUCCGGAUUUAUUGGGCGUAAAGGGCUCGUAGGCGGCUCAGUAAGUCGGGUGUGAAACCUCCAGGCUCAACCUGGAGACGCCACUCGAUACUGCUGUGGCUAGAGUCCGGUAGGGGAGCAUGGAAUUCCUGGUGUAGCGGUGAAAUGCGCAGAUAUCAGGAGGAACACCGGUGGCGAAGGCGGCGUUCUGGACUGCAACUGACACUGAGGAACGAAAGCCAGGGGAGCAAACGGG